rnacentral:rRNA from 1 species
UACGUAGGGGGCAAGCGUUGUCCGGAUUUAUUGGGCGUAAAGAGCGUGUAGGCGGCUAUGUAGGUCCGUUGUGAAAUCUCAGAGCUCAACUCUGAAACUGCACUCGAUACUGCUUUGCUUGAGGACUGGAGAGGAGAUUGGAAUUCACGGUGUAGCAGUGAAAUGCGUAGAUAUCGUGAGGAAGACCAGUGGCGAAGGCGGAUCUCUGGACAGUUCCUGACGCUGAGGCGCGAAGGCCAGGGGAGCAAACGGG